rnacentral:snoRNA from 1 species
AGGUAAGAUUUAGAGCACAAUAAAACUAUAGGUGCUGUGUUGUUCCUCCAUAAAAUAUUUCUUAAGUAAGCAUGUUUCCUUUACUCCUGUAGCACUCAGGGAUGAUUUGUCUCAUACAU